rnacentral:rRNA from 1 species
ACUCAAAGGAAUAGACGGGGGCUCACACAAGCGGUGGAGCAUGUGGAUCAAUUCGAAGCAACGCGAAGAACCUUACCUGGGUUUGACAUGUACGGAUGCUCUCGGUGAAAGCUGAGUAGGCUGCCUUCGGGUGAAACGUGCACAGGUGCUGCAUGGCUGUCGUCAGCUCGUGCUGUGAAGUGUCGGGUUAAGUCCCUUAACGAGCGAAACCCUUAUCGUUAGUUGCCAGCGGGUCAUGCCGGGAACUCUAACGAGACUGCCGGCGUUAAGCCGGAGGAAGGCGGGGACGACGUCAAGUCAUCAUGGCCUUUAUGUCCAGGGUGUCACACGUGCUACAAUGGGACGUACAGAGCGAAGCAAUGCCGUGAGGCCGAGCAAAUCGCAGAAAACGUCCCUCAGUUCGGAUUGGGGUCUGCAAUUCGACCCCAUGAAGUUGGAAUCGCUAGUAAUCGCGUAUCAGCCAUGACGCGGUGAAUGUGUUCCUGAGCCUUGCACACACCGCCCGU